GACAGAGGGUGCGAGCGUUAUCCGGAAUCAUUGGGCGUAAAGCGUGUGUAGGCGGAAUGUUAAGUCGGGGAUGAAAUUUCCAAGCCCAACUUGGAGCCCGUUCCCGAAACUGGCGUUCUUGGAAGAAUGCAGAGGCAGGUGGAAUUCUGAGUGUAGGGGUAAAAUCCGUAGAUACUCGGAGGAACGCCAAAAGCGAAAGCAGCCUGCUGGGCAUUUCUUGACGCUGAGACACGAAAGCGUGGGGAGCAAACAGG
rnacentral:rRNA from 1 species